GCGGAAGUGGUGAAAUUGGUAUACACGCCAGAUUUAGGUUCUGGUGCCGCAAGGCGUGUGGGUUCGAGUCCCACCUUCCGCACCA
rnacentral:tRNA from 1 species